GAUGAACGCUAGCGGCAGGCCUAAUACAUGCAGGUCGAACGGUGUCUUCGGACAUAGUGGCGCACGGGUGCGUAACACGUAUGCAACCUACCUUACAUUGGGGGAUAGCCUUUCGAAAGGGAGAUUAAUACCGCAUAAGACAGUAGCUGGGCAUCCAGCAGCUGUUAAAGAUUUAUCGAUGUAAGCUGGGUAUGCGUCCAAUUAGCUAGUUGGUGAGGUAACGGCUCACCAAGGCAAUGAUUGGUAGGGGAACUGAGAGGUCAAUCCCCCACACUGGCACUGAGAUACGGGCCAGACUCCUACGGGAGGCAGCAGUAGGGAAUAUUGGGCAAUGGACCCAAGUCUGACCCAGCCAUGCCGCGUGCAGGGUGAAGGCGUUAUGCGUUGUAAACUGCUUUUAUACAGGAAGAAACGACUCUUGCGAGAGGCAUUGACGGUACUGUAUGAAUAAGCACCGGCUAACUCCGUGCCAGCCGCCGUGUAAAAC
rnacentral:rRNA from 1 species